AUGAACGCUGGCGGCGUGCCUAAUACAUGCAAGUCGAGCGAACAGACGAGGAGCUUGCUCCUAUGACGUUAGCGGCGGACGGGUGAGUAACACGUGGAUAACCUACCUAUAAGACUGGGAUAACUUCGGGAAACCGGAGCUAAUACCGGAUAAUAUAUUGAACCGCAUGGUUCAAUAGUGAAAGACGGUUUUGCUGUCACUUAUAGAUGGAUCCGCGCCGCAUUAGCUAGUUGGUAAGGUAACGGCUUACCAAGGCGACGAUGCGUAGCCGACCUGAGAGGGUGAUCGGCCACACUGGAACUGAGACACGGUCCAGACUCCUACGGGAGGCAGCAGUAGGGAAUCUUCCGCAAUGGGCGAAAGCCUGACGGAGCAACGCCGCGUGAGUGAUGAAGGUCUUCGGAUCGUAAAACUCUGUUAUUAGGGAAGAACAAAUGUGUAAGUAACUAUGCACGUCUUGACGGUACCUAAUCAGAAAGCCACGGCUAACUACGUG
rnacentral:rRNA from 1 species